rnacentral:rRNA from 1 species
UACGGAGGGUGCAAGCGUUAUCCGGAUUCACUGGGUUUAAAGGGUGCGUAGGAGGGCAGGUAAGUCCGUGGUGAAAUCUCCGAGCUUAACUCGGAAACUGCCGUGGAUACUCUCUGUCUUGAAUCCCGUGGAGAUGAGCGGAAUAUGUCAUGUAGCGGUGAAAUGCUUAGAUAUGACAUAGAACACCAAUUGCGAAGGCAGCUCGUUACACGAAGAUUGACUCUGAGGCACGAAAGCGUGGGGAUCAAACAGG